GGCCUUAUGGUCUAGUAGUAUGAUUCCUCGUUUGGGCAUCCGUUUAAUUCGAGGAGGUCAUGGGUUCAAUUCCCAUUGAGGCCC